GACGAACGCUGGCGGCGUGCUUAACACAUGCAAGUCGAACGGUAAGGCCCUUCGGGGUACACGAGUGGCGAACGGGUGAGUAACACGUGGGUGAUCUGCCCUGCACUUCGGGAUAAGCCUGGGAAACUGGGUCUAAUACCGGAUAGGACCCUGGGAUGCAUGUCCUGGGGUGGAAAGCUUUUGCGGUGUGGGAUGGGCCCGCGGCCUAUCAGCUUGUUGGUGGGGUGAUGGCCUACCAAGGCGACGACGGGUAGCCGGCCUGAGAGGGUGACCGGCCACACUGGGACUGAGAUACGGCCCAGACUCCUGGGGGAGGCAGCAGUGGGGAAUAUUGGACAAUGGGCGCAAGCCUGAUGCAGCGACGCCGCGUGAGGGAUGACGGCCUUCGGGUUGUAAACCUCUUUCAGCACCGACGAAGCGCAAGUGACGGUAGGUGCAGAAGAAGGACCGGCCAACUACGUGCCAGCCGCCGCCGUAA
rnacentral:rRNA from 1 species